GAUGAAGAACGUAGCGAAAUGCGAUAAGUAAUGUGAAUUGCAGAGUUCAGUGAAUCAUCGAAUCUUUGAACGCACAUUGCGCCCCUUGGUAUUCCGAGGGGCAUGCCUGUUCGAGCGUCAUUAUAACCCCUCAAGCUCAGCUUGGUGUUGGGGCCUGCUGCACUGGCAGCCCUUAAAAUCAGUGGCGGCGCCAUCUGGCUCUAAGCGUAGUAAUUCUUCUCGCUAUGGAGUCCUGGUGGAUGCUUGCCAUCAACCCCCAAUUUUUCUAUGGUUGACCUCGGAUCAGGUAGGGAUACCCGCUGAACUUAAGCAUAUCAAUAAGCGGAGGA
rnacentral:misc_RNA from 1 species